rnacentral:lncRNA from 1 species
CCCCGUAGGGGUCCGGGCGGAGCCCUCCUUGUGAUUGGGGUCGUAGGUGGAGCCCGGCUCCCGUGGGAGUCCGGGUGAAUCCCCUGCAAUCAAAAUCAGAUACAGAGUCUGGCUCCCGUAGGAGUCCGGACAUGGCUUACCAGCAGCUGACGUUGUGGACGGAGCCCGGCUCCCGUAGGGGUCCAGGCGGAAUCUUCCUUGCGAUGGGUGGAAAUUGUCGGCGG